AGUGAACGCUGGCGGCAGGCCUAACACAUGCAAGUCGAGCGGCAGCGCGGGGGCAACCCUGGCGGCGAGCGGCGGACGGGUGAGGAAUUCGUCGGAAUCUGCCUUUUUGUGGGGGAUAACGUAGGGAAACUUACGCUAAUACCGCAUACGUCCUACGGGAGAAAGUGGGGGACCGCAAGGCCUCACGCAGAAAGAUGAGCCGACGACCGAUUAGCUAGUUGGUGGGGUAAAGGCCCACCAAGGCGACGAUCGGUAGCUGGUCUGAGAGGAUGAUCAGCCACACUGGGACUGAGACACGGCCCAGACUCCUACGGGAGGCAGCAGUGGGGAAUAUCGGACAAUGGGCGCAAGCCUGAUCCAGCCAUGCCGCGUGUGUGAAGAAGGCCUUCGGGUUGUAAAGCACUUUUGUCCGGAAAGAAAUCCCUGGAGCUAAUACCUUCGGGGGAUGACGGUACCGGAAGAAUAAGCACCGGCUAACUUCGUG
rnacentral:rRNA from 1 species